UUAGGUGUGGCCUUUCUCUCCCUACCCACAAUCCACCGCGCGACUCGAAGAAUUGGCGGGUGACCAGGUAACAAAAAAAGAGAAAUAAAUGAGUGUUUCCGGAUUACCACGCUAUGAUCCCAUGGAGCUUGUUUCCGCCAAGGGGAGUGUUCCAUACUGCUGACGGUUUCCCAGGCAACCAGAGGCCAGGACCUUCACUAGGAGAAAUUGAAAGGUAAGCUGUAGCGGAAAAAAGCAGAUGUUUGGAUGUUUCACCCUUCUGGGAACAGGAUGAAGGUCAAGGCGGAGACUGCUGACUCGGACCAAUGACAAACAGUAUUAUUCUUCUAAGAUGUCUGGUUUACAAGUCAUGACCACUUGGGGAAAAAAGGAAGUUCACUUCCUGUCCCCUCCCGUGGUGGUCUUCAAAGUGGGCCCCUGCACUGUGACACACACGCCCCACUGCUCUCCCUGUGGACGAGCACCCCAACCCCUCAGCAGCCGCUGCUCUGCGCCAGUCGUGUGUGUGAGUGUAUGUCUCGACGGACCGACGGCUGAUGGAGGCCGAGCUGAGGGAACGCGACGAGAACCGUGACCUCCGUGGGAGCAAAAUUACGGCUGAUCCCAGCUCAGACUUCCCGGGGAGAAGCUUCGUGACCGACUCCAGAGCUGGCCCGAUAUCAGAGGUUAUGAUCAUGCUGUUGGGGUUAUCUCGGUCCAUUCAUCCAAGAGGCUCAAAGAUAUGGAGACAGCUGUCCGCCUUCAUCUUCAUCAUGGCUGCCAUGCCCGUGAGUAAUCUCUGAUUUCACUCUGAUUGCAUCUCCAGAGGCCUGACUCAGCCAUAUUGGCUUUGGUCGCACAAAUGUGGUCAUGCUUCAGAUGCUCAUAAAUACAGUACAUGCAUACAGUACAUGACUGUGUAUUGUCCAUGGAAGUGAUCUUGAUGGAUGUUCCUGGAGGUUCCAUAUUAAGUGAAG